GGAUUACAGGUGUGUGCCACUGUGCCCAGAUUUUUUGAUUCAGCUGAUCUGGCUAGCUAGGCAAGUGUUCUCUUUCUCUCUUACUGCUCCAUGUGCACCACUGAUGAAGCUAUGUGCUCAGUUGAGGAGGACAACCACCCCAGAUAGAGGAGGACUGUUCUUUAGUCAAGGGUAUAUAAGUAGCUGCAUUCCCAUGCUAGAAUCUCUAAACAACUCGUUUUUAAUCCUUUCUAAGUGUCCAAUAAGUGAACUUUUAAUAUUACUGAAGAUGGGGAAUAAAGGGCCUCUAAUUC
rnacentral:snRNA from 1 species